UUUCCGUAGGUGAACCUGCGGAAGGAUCAUUACCGAGUGGGGGCCCUCUGGGUCCAACCUCCCACCCGUGUUUAUCGUACCUUGUUGCUUCGGCGGGCCCGCCUCACGGCCGCCGGGGGGCACCCGCCCCCGGGCCCGCGCCCGCCGAAGACACCAUUGAACGCUGUCUGAAGAUUGCAGUCUGAGCAUCUUAGCUAAAUCAGUUAAAACUUUCAACAACGGAUCUCUUGGUUCCG
rnacentral:misc_RNA from 1 species